CCCAGACUCCUACGGGAGGCAGCAGUGGGGAAUAUUGGACAAUGGGGGGAACCCUGAUCCAGCGACGCCGCGUGAGUGAAGAAGUAUUUCGGUAUGUAAAGCUCUAUCAGCAGGGAAGAAAGAAAUGACGGUACCUGACUAAGAAGCCCCGGCUAACUACGUGCCAGCAGCCGCGGUAAUACGUAGGGGGCAAGCGUUAUCCGGAUUUACUGGGUGUAAAGGGGGCGCAGACGGCGAUGCAAGCCAGGAGUGAAAGCCCGGGGCCCAACCCCGGGACUGCUCUUGGAACUGCGUGGCUGGAGUGCAGGAGGGGUAGGCGGAAUUCCUGGUGUAGCGGUGAAAUGCGUAGAUAUCAGGAGGAACACCGGUGGCGAAGGCGGCCUGCGGGACUGCGACUGACGUUGAGGCCCGAAAGCGUGGGGAGCAAACAGGAUUAGAUACCCCUGUA
rnacentral:rRNA from 1 species